rnacentral:rRNA from 2 species
AGCAUAGCGAUUUGGGAUAAGUCCCUUGGAAGAGGGCAGCAUGGAGGGUGAUACUCCCGUCUCUGCUCAGGUUGUCUGUGUGUACGAUACGCUUUCUUUGAGUCGAGUUGUUUGGGAAUACAGCUCAAAGUAGGUGGUAAAUUCCAUCUAAAGCUAAAUAUUGGUGCGAGACCGAUAGCGAACAAGUACCGUGAGGGAAAGAUGAAAAGAACUUUGAAAAGAGAGUUAAAGAGUACCUGAAACUGUUGAAAGGGAACCGUACCGUUUCUAGUGUUUAUCCUAUGCAUAUUUCAUUGGCGGUUGCAAAGUUGCUGGUGCCCUGUGCAUGGGUGUGACGUCAGAGUCAAUUUAAAUUGCGGGAGAUGGGUAGAGAGGAGGUGCGCCGCUUGCGAAAGUUAUACCUUUUUGCCUAGUAGCCGUGGUUGAGACUGAGGUGCC